UUCUGAUUUGAAUCGGUUUUUAUGUUUUGACAUUCAGAUUUGUAGCGGCAUCAACGGGUUACCGACGAUUAGUAUGGUGGUGGUGGAAAUGGGUUUCCGACGACGAGUGUGGUGGUGGUCCGAUUCGAAAAGGUUUAUGUAUGACAUUUUCAAAUUAGGUUUCGUUAUUAACUUUCUUUUGUAGAAAGUGCAGGAUUUGAACUAAUUAUUAUAGAUCUGAUAUUUGUUAUUCGUCGUCAACCUUUGUUAUUACUCACAAAUAUUUGAAGUUGUUUUCGUUUCUACUCUGUUAUUGUUUUGAACUUCACCAAAAUACUCUGUUACAGCGUAAUUAUGCAGGGCCAUGGAUGUUGACGAUGCUUAGUGAGAAUUACAAGUUUAUCGGUAUUGCGAGGAAAGAUGAUUCAUAUGACAGUGAAGAUAAUCUUUUCAUUCCAUAGUUGGGGUUCUGUUCUUUUACACUAGAUUGUUUGAUUUGUUUUGGAUAAUUAUUUAUGCAGUGAUGGUUACGAAUUCAAAACUCCGAACCAUUAAUUUCUAAAUGUGACUAAUAGUUCUCCUAAAACAUGCUCUGUGUAAUUACUUGAACUUCUUAGUUUAAGAAGUGUUGUUUAAUGUUAACGUUAUGUACCAGGUGUUGCUUUCAGAGCAUACAGCGAGGUGGUGGCUCUACGUUUUCGUGGGGGUAAUGGUAGCACAUAAGGCAUAUUUUCUUAGGAAUAUUUUUAUAUGUUUCAUUGCAUUGGAAACUUUGAGGUAAGAUGAAAUUGCAGUGCUUACCUGUUUAUUGAUUAUCACAGUGAGGAGAAAUUAAUCUUUGAGACAAAUUGGUAGGACCUGAAAGAAGAUCCAAAAGACGAGUUUCUGUCAUUACUGAAUGUAAGAUGCCUAAUUUUUGAUCUGGUGAUGUGCUCACGGGAUAAUGCAUUAUUGGAGCUGCUAACAUGAUUGUAUGGGAUAUUUGUGUGUAUGGUGUAGUUUCUCUAUCCCACUUUUAGGGCCAGCUGCUCUGCGCCGCUAUUUGAAAAUGACUAUGGUUAUUGUUUGAUUUGAUGGAUAAUUAAAAUAUAAUGAACUGACUGAACUGACUGAAGUUAAUAGGUUUUGUAUGGUAUAUAGGCUGACUGUUAGUGGAUUUAAAUGAAGUGCAGGAGUUUGAUGUUUGCGUGGAUCGGGUUUGAUACGGUGCAAGUUGCGGUUUUGAUUUGGUUUUCUUCGUUCUACUGCAGAUUUUGGCACUCUGAUGCAGAGUGGGACUGACACAGUCAUCUAUGCACGUGGAUGAUAUGUGGCUAGGGAGAGGAAUGUUGAUGGGGUUACCAAUGUAAUAACAGUGCCACGAACAGGAUCUAUUGGUGGGAGACCUCCUUUGAAUUCAUUUUAUCAAUUUCAUCUAUUAUGUUGUUUUGAAUUUUUCAGAUUGUUGUUUUUUUAUCCAUUUUAUCCAAAGGAUCUACUGGUUUUUUGUUUAAAUUAUACAUCUAUUAUAUUGUUUUGAAUUAUUUCAUAUUGUUGUUUAUUCUUUUUGCUAUUCAUUCAAAGGUCAUUCAGCUUUGCUAAGUUAUCAUCAUCAACAGCUGGUCCAUGGAGGAAGUGUGGAUGCAUUUCCUGUUAUAGGAGUUGGAGCUGAGCCUUUGGAUUCAGUAGAGAAAUCAUCCAAGGGAGGCUUUUGAGCUUCUUCAUUAAGCUCUUGGAAGAAGUUGGAGGACAAGAAAAAUUAACUGCCACUAAGUGAGGAGAAAUUAAUCUUUGAGACAAAUUGGUAGGACCUGAAAGAAGAUCCAAAAGACGAGUUUCUGUCAUUACUGAAUGUAAGAUGCCUAGUCUUUGAUCUGGUGAUGUGCUCACAGGAUAAUGCAUUAUUGGAGCUGCCAACAUGAUUGUAUGGGAUAUUUGUGUGUAUGGUGUAGUUUCUCUGAAUUUUAUAGACUAUCUUACAUCAUCCAAUACAGUAAUCUAACUUCCCUUUAUCGAAAUUGGAUUGAAGAAACGUAUUUGGAAUUAAGAUAAUGGGUUUGAAGAUACUAGAAUGUUGGUGUUAAUGAAGGCAUUAAUGACACAUGACAUUCAAAUCAGUUGCAAUUCAGGAGUUGUUAGCAAAGUGGGAGGAGUACGAUUUAUGAUAAAAAAUAAUGGGAGUGGUUAUCGAAGACUCGGUUAUUAUCAUAUUGAAGGUGACUAUGAGAAAAUGCUUUUAGGAUGCUAGAGAUACAUGUUGGUAUGUCUAUGUCUGUGAGUUUUUCCUUUUGAGAGAGGUACUGUGUGCUUUUAUAAGCUGUGUUUUCAGAAUGGUUGUUUUUCCUAUGUGUUUUUGUAUUUUGGAAGUGCAAUUUGAAUUUGUCUGCAAUAAUGUAUGUGAUUAGCUAUUCUAACUCACUAUAGUGACCUUAUGGUUACUUUUUCUA